UACAGAGGGUGCGAGCGUUGUCCGGAAUCACUGGGCGUAAAGGGCGCGUAGGUGGUGGCUUAAGCGUGCGGUGAAAGCUCGGGGCUCAACCCCGAGUCGGCCGUGCGAACUGGGCUCACUGGAGCAUAGUAGAGGCAGGUGGAAUUCCGGGUGUAGCGGUGGAAUGCGUAGAUAUUCGCAAGAACACCAGUGGCGAAGGCGGCUCACUGGCCCGGUACUGACGCGUGGAGGUGACGAAAGCGUGGGGAGCAAACAGG
rnacentral:rRNA from 1 species